rnacentral:rRNA from 1 species
UGGGGAAUAUUGGACAAUGGGCGCAAGCCUGAUCCAGCAAUGCCGCGUGUGUGAAGAAGGCCUUCGGUUGUAAAGCACUUUUAUCAGGAGCGAAAACGCUGUCGGCUAAUACCCGGCGGAACUGACGGUACCUGAGGAAUAAGCACCGGCUAACUUCGUGCCAGCAGCCGCGGUAAUACGAAGGGUGCAAGCGUUAAUCGGAAUUACUGGGCGUAAAGCGUGCGUAGCGGUUUCUUAAGUCUGCUGUGAAAUCCCCGGGCUCAACCUGGGAAUGGCAGUGGAUACUGGGAGGCUAGAGUGUGUGCAGAGGGUGGUGGAAUUCCCGGUGAUAGCGGUGAAAUGCGUAGAGAUCGGGAGGAACAUCAGUGGCGAAGGCGGCCACCUGGGACAACACUGACGCUGAGGCACG